GUUUACAUAAUUUAUAUAGAAUAUUGUGUUGAAGUUACAAAAGAGAUUUAAUCUGUAGGCAA
rnacentral:tRNA from 1 species